UACGUAGGGUGCAAGCGUUGUUCGGAAUUAUUGGGCGUAAAGAGCUUGUAGGCGGUUUGUCGCGUCUGCUGUGAAAUUUCGGGGCUCAACCCCGAACUUGCAGUGGGUACGGGCAGACUAGAGUGUGGUAGGGGAGACUGGAAUUCCUGGUGUAGCGGUGAAAUGCGCAGAUAUCAGGAGGAACACCGAUGGCGAAGGCAGGUCUCUGGGCCAUAACUGACGCUGAGAAGCGAAAGCGUGGGGAGCGAACAGG
rnacentral:rRNA from 1 species